UUGGAGGGCAAGUCUGGUGCCAGCAGCCGCGGUAAUUCCAGCUCCAAUAACGUAUAUUAAAGUUGUUGCAGUUAAAAAGCUCGUAGUUGAAUUUCGGGGUUAGUAGGUUGGUCAUGCCUCUGGUAUGUACUGGUCUCACUGAUUCCUCCUUCCUUAUGAACCGUAAUGCCAUUAAUUUGGUGUUGCGGGGAAUUUGGACUGUUACUUUGAAAAAAUUAGAGUGUUUAAAGCAAGCUAACGCUUGAAUACAUUAGCAUGGAAUAAUGAAAUAGGACGUUCG
rnacentral:rRNA from 1 species